rnacentral:rRNA from 1 species
ACGAACGCUGGCGGCAUGCCUAACACAUGCAAGUCGAACGAGACCUUCGGGUCUAGUGGCGCACGGGUGCGUAACGCGUGGGAACCUGCCCUUAGGUUCGGAAUAACUCCCCGAAAGGGGUGCUAAUACCGGAUAAUGUCUUCGGACCAAAGAUUUAUCGCCUUUGGAUGGGCCCGCGUUGGAUUAGCUAGUUGGUAGGGUAAAAGCCUACCAAGGCGACGGUCCAUAGCUGGUCUGAGAGGAUGAUCAGCCACACUGGGACUGAGACACGGCCCAGACUCCUACGGGAGGCAGCAGUGGGGAAUAUUGGACAAUGGGCGAAAGCCUGAUCCAGCAAUGCCGCGUGAGUGAUGAAGGCCUUAGGGUUGUAAAGCUCUUUUACCCGGGAUGAUAAUGACAGUACCGGGAGAAUAAGCUCCGGCUAACUCCGUG